UGGUGGGUAGUAUACCUUCUUCGGUGGUGGUGGAGAGUAGACGGGUGGUGGGUAGUAUACCUUCUUCGGUGGUGGUGGUGAGUAGACGGGGGGUGGGUAGUAUACCUUCUUCGGUGGUGGUGGUGAGUAGACGGGAGGUGGGUAGUACACCUUCUUCGGUGGUGGUGGUGAGUAGACGGGAGGUGGGUAGUACACCUUCUUCGGUGGUGGUGGUGAGUAGACGGGAGGUGGGUAGUAUACCUUCUUUGGCGGUGGUGGUGAGUAGACUGGUGGUGGGUAGUAUACUUUCUUUGGUGGUGGAGGAGACUUAUAGACGGGUGGUGGAUAGUAUACCUUCUUGGGAGGUGGGGGAGACUUGUAGACUGGAGGUGGGUAGUAUACCUUCUUUGGUGGUGGAGGAGACUUAUAGACGGGAGGAGGGUAGUAUACCUUCUUGGGAGGUGGGGGAGACUUGUAGACGGGAGGUGGGUAGUACACCUUCUUGGGAGGUGGGGGAGACUUGUAGACGGGAGGUGGGUAGUACACCUUCUUGGGAGGCGGGGGAGACUUGUAGACGGGAGGUGGGUAAUACACCUUCUUAGGUGGCGGAGGAGACUUGUAGACGGGAGGUGGGUAAUAAACCUUCUUGGGUGGCGGAGGAGACUUGUAGACAGGAGGUGGGUAAUACACCUUCUUUGGUGGUGGUGGAGAGUAAACUGGUGGUGGAUAGUAAACCUUCUUGGGUGGUGGUGGAGAGUGAUACACUGGAG
rnacentral:lncRNA from 1 species